rnacentral:sRNA from 1 species
UCUGAAUACGCUUUUAUACAGAUUGACGC